ensembl:lncRNA
CUGGGUGCACUUCCGACCGCAGCUCCGCUGGAGGCGCUCUCUGCUCAGGUAACCCAGGUCUCUUUGGGGCCAAGUGUGGGGCCGCCUUCAGCCCUGGCCUUACUGGGUCUCUCCAAAGCCUUCCUCGCUGUCACCCGCUCCCUCCAUCUUGGAACUCUCUCCCCUGCUUCCCUCCUGCCUGCCUGGCUGUUCCUUGCUCCCUUUCCCCCCACAGAAUGUUGCGGUGUGUCUGGGUCUGCUCCCAGCCCCCUGCCUAUCUCACACAACCCUCCUCGGGUGAGCAUCCUGAGCAGCCCACUUCUCUCCCAAGCUCUCUACCUGUGGUUCUUAACUUUGUUUCAACUCCCCCUUGAUAACAAAUGUCUUGUAAUACCCCUUAUUACCCUGAAAUGAAAUGACGUGCAUGUGCGUGCAGUUCCUCAGCAGAAAACAAUCCCAGUGCCCUUACUGAAAUAUCGGAGGGAGCCCUUGUAGGCUGGCGGUGAAGUGUAGACACUGGUUCAAAUCCUGGCUUCUCCACUUCCCAGCUGUGUGACCUUAGGCGGCUGAGUUGCGGCACUCAGGAUCUUCGAUCUUCAUUGCAGCAUGU